CCGCGCUAGACGGGGAACUAGCGGUGCCCUGCACUCGCAAUCCGCUUUAGCGAGGUCGAAUUCCCGCCCGAGGGCGUCUUGUUCUUUAGCCAGGUGCGAAGCACGUGGUGUUGACGGUUGGGUCCUGCUCAACGUGAUGCCGCCAAACCCGGUCAGGUCCUGACGGAAGCAGCCGUAGGAGGAUGUUCACGUGUGCUGCAGGAGCGCCUGGCCCGAGCCGGCGGCUUCGUGGCCGUUCUGGGCAAGCGUUCGACGGCGGGUGCGCGG
rnacentral:SRP_RNA from 1 species